UUAAGUUCAGCGGGUAUCCCUACCUGAUCCGAGGUCAACCUUUAGAAGUUGGGGGUUGUUGGCAAGCGUCCACCGGAACCCUAUCGCGAGGAGAAAUUACUACGCGUAGAGCCAGACGGCACCGCCACUGGUUUUAAGGCCCGCCCGGAGGCGAAGCCCAAGACCCCGCCGGAGCGGGAGUUGGUCAAAAUGACGCUCGA
rnacentral:misc_RNA from 1 species